AUGCACUCAUCCCGAAUCCUCUUCGUGUCAGGACAAGCACAGCAGAUUUUCCUCUUCUUCGGCGUCUUCGAUACUUCACACGCUUUUUCUCUUGCUGCCAUUGUUGUUGCAUGCGCUGUUGCUUGGUUCAAAUCGGAUGAAGAAGCCGCGGCGGCGACGCCGUGCGUUGCUGUUGUUGCUGUUUGGUUCUCAGAUUCUGAAUUUCCUUGA